GACGAACGCUGGCGGCGUGCUUAACACAUGCAAGUGGUGCGACGAACCAGGGCUUGCCCUGGGGCCAAGCCGCGAACGGGUGAGUAACACGUGAGUAACCUGCCCCGAUGACCGGGACAACCCGAGGAAACUCGGGCUAAUACCGGAUGUGGUGCACAGAUUGAUUCCGUGCACUAAAGGAAGCUUCGGCCUCCGCAUUGGGAGGGGCUCGCGGCCCAUUAGCUUGUUGGUGGGGUAACGGCCUACCAAGGCAACGAUGGGUAGCUGGUCUGAGAGGACGAUCAGCCACACUGGGACUGAGACACGGCCCAGACUCCUACGGGAGGCAGCAGUGGGGAAUCUUGCGCAAUGCGCGAAAGCGUGACGCAGCGACGCCGCGUGGGGGAUGAAGGCCCUCGGGUUGUAAACCCCUUUCGGCAGGGACGAAGCGAGAGUGACGGUACCUGCAGAAGAAGUCCCGGCUAACUACGUGCCAGCAGCCGCAGUAAAAC
rnacentral:rRNA from 1 species